GCCCGGCGAGCCCGGCGUGCCGGGAUGACGGAGGCGGAAGCGGCUCGGGGAGGAUGUAGCGGCGCUGGCAGCGGCUGUGGCGCCGCGAUCUCCCCGCCCCUGCAGCCGGCCGGCCCCGCCAUGGAGGUUCAAGAUGCUGGGCAGGAGAUGGUGGCAUCUUCUGGGACACCAGGAUCAGGCAAAUCAAAGCUGGACACAUUGCCCAAAGAAGACCUCAUCAAGUUUGCAAAAAAGCAAAUGAUGCUUAUACAGAAAGUGAAGUCAAGAUGUGCAGAACUGGAGAAAGAAAUUGAAGAACUCAGAUCUAAAGCAGCUACUGCAGGAGCUGAUGAUAUUAUUCAGGCUCUCACAGAAAGGCUGGAUGUGGUGCUUCUGGAAAAAGCUGAAAGUCAGCAGCAGUGCAUAGCUCUGAAAAAAGAAAAUGUUCAAAUAAAGCAAGAAGCAGAGGCUGCAGUGGCUAAAACAGAAGAAUUACAGAAGCAACUGGAACAAUCAAGAAUUGACUCUCUGGAAGAAAUAAAAGCUCUGAAGAGUGAAUUAGCAAAUGCACAAUGCAAGCACAAUGAGGAUUUAAAAAAGCUAAAGAUGGAAUUAGAUGAACAAGUGAAGAAACAAAUGGAGCUGGUGCAACAGGUUGAAUGUUACAAUGAUAGUCAAAAAGAAGUUAAAAGAUUACAAGAUGAUGUCCAAAGAAUUAAAUCUACUUAUGAAGAGCAAAUUUUGUGUCUGAACAAGCAGUUGGAAGCUGUGAAUGAAGACAAAAACAAAGAAGUGACAAAUCUGCAAGAAACUAUUAAAAGCACCUCUCAGUGUUACCAUAAUGAAAUAAAAAAUCUGAAUGAAGAGCUUAAAAAAUUAAAAACUGCUCAUCAGGAAGAGGUGUCAGAACUAAUGCAUCGGAUUGAAAUAUCAUCUAAAGAAAAUGAAGAAAAGCAAAAUCAAAUAAAUCAGUUGCAGCAUAAUUUGGCAGAGAAAAAUGCCAAGGAUGAAAUACAUGCUCAGACUGACCAGUGUGAAUAUGACUUGGAGCAGCUGAGAGAAGUGCUACAUAAAAAUUUAGAAAACAAGAUAGAUGUUGCAGAUACACAAGAAGAACCUUGUGUAAAAGCAAAAAUGGAGGAAAAAGUUAGGUACCUGGAGCAUAGUUUAGAAGAACUCCAGUCCCAACAUAGUAUAUUAAAAGAUGAGUUAACUUAUAUGAGCAAUGUCAAGAUGAAACUGGAAGAGGAAAUCCAUCGUAUGAAGGAUGAGUUCUUUCAUGAGCGGGAAGACUUGGAUUUUAAGAUAAAUGAAUUGCAGCUUACUAAAGAAGAUUACUGCUGUGUAAUUGAAAAACUAAAAUUGGAGCUUCAAGCAGCAGGACAGCACUAUGAAACUGCUGCAAAAGAGCACAAAUUAGAGAUACAGAAUCUGAAAGAUCAGCACCAGAGAGAAAUUUCUGAACUAAAUGAAACUUUAUUAUCUGGUUCUGAAAAAGAACAGAUGGCAUUAGUUUUUGAAAUGCAGGAACUUAGAGAACAACUUGAAAAGGUAACUCAGGAGAAAGAAGAAGCAGUGUCCAAUUACAACAGCCUGAGAGAAACAAUGGAAACUCUACAGGCUGAGCUAGGUGAAUCUGCUGGAAAGAUCAGCCAGGAGUUGGAAUCAAUGAAACAACAGCAAGCUUCUGAUGUCAGUCAACUGCAACAGAAACUCCGGGCUGCUUUCAAUGAAAGGGAUCUUCUUCUUGAAAAUGUAAAUCACCUCCAGGAAAAAGUAAAAAAAUUUUCAGAAGAGACAGGAGAACUUAAAUGUAAAAUUGUUAGUCUUCAGGAGGACAAUAGUGCAAUGGCAAGCUCCAUUGACCAAAAAGAGAUUACUGUAAGAAAACUGGAAGAGAAGAUCACUGCUCUUACUGAUCAAAACAGGGAUAUUUUAAAUGACGUAAAAUGCUUGAGUGAAGAUAGAGAAACCCUUCAGGAAACAUGCAAGCAAAAACAAGUUAGAAUUCAGGAACUUCAGCAAGAAGUAGAUUGUGCUAACCAGGACAAUAAUGACCUGAAGCAAAAGGUAGAGGAAUUAACAGAGAGACUGAAUGAAGCUUUAAUUUCUAAGGGUGAAAAUGCUCAAAUGCUAGAACAAUUAGAAAAACAGAUUGAAUCUCUGGUGCGUGAUAAAGAGCAGCUUUCAUCUGAAGUGCACACUCUCCGUGAGGAAAAUAAGAAACUCAUUCAGGAAAAAGGUGAAUUAAGUGAAGAGCUGGGAAAGACUACAUCUGAAAAAGAUAGUUGUUCAGUAUUGAAAGAGCAGUCUGAAAACUUAGAAAAGAAACUACAAAUAAUGGCUGCAGAAAAAGACCAUAUAUCAACAUUACUUGAAAAUGAACAAGUGCACACAUCCCUUGUAAGAACUCAGCUGUACCACUUACUUGAGCAAGUGGGGUUCAGCAUUUCAGAUUCUAAUGAAGAAUAUGAUUCUCUUAACUUGUUAAAAAUUGCAAGUGAAUGCUUGUCAAAAAUUAAAGAAGAGCAGUGCCUUGCUCUUCAAAAGGAGGAGGAAGUAAUUAGUUUGCAGCGAGAAGUUGAGAGAUUAGAGGAAGAAAAUGCAGCUCAACAUAGAGAACAUAGAUCCCUGAUUCAGGAUUUUGAAAAAGAGAAGAAUCUUUUGAGAGAAGAACUGGAAGGACUGUUGUCUGAAAAAGAAGCGCUUCAACGUGAUAUCCAGGAGUUGAGAAAUGCCAGUGAAAAAACAAGGAUUGAAAAUCAAGAUCUUUUAGCUAAUACUGAAGAGAUGAGUCAAAAACUUGCUCUUUAUGAAAAUCAAAUACAAGAACAGCAAAAAGGAUCUGAAAAACAAGACGACUUAAAUUUCAUUCUGGAACAAAAGGAAACUGAGCUUAGAAAUGUGAAAGACGAACUGAGUUCUCUAAAGAAUUUAAUGGAAACAAUGACUGAGAAAACUGAUGAACAGUCUUCAGUAGCAGAGCUUCAAGAAAAAAUUGGGAUGCUCGAAAAAGAAUCUGCCGAAAAAGGAGAGAAGCUAAAUAAAAUCAAAGUGGUUGCUGUGAAAGCCAAGAAAGAAUUAGAUGCCAGCCGAAAAGAGGUGCAGACUCUGAAGGAAGAGUUGGAGUUGGUUCGAUCAGAAAAAGAUCAAUUGUCUGCUUCAAUGAAAGAUGUAAUUCAAGGAGCUGAAAGCUAUAAGAAUCUUUUGAUGGAAUAUGACAAACAAGGAGAACAGCUGGAUUCUGAAAAAGGCAGAGCAAAUAAUCUUGAACGUCAGAUAGAGGACCUCACAAGACAGCUACAGGUGUCGUCUGAGCAGCAUGAUCAGUUACGCUCUGCUAAUGAAGACCUCCUAACUCGUGUUGAAACAGUGCAAAAUAAUGCUAAGCUGCUGGAAACUCAGAUACUGGAGAUACAAAGAGCCAAAGCAAAGGCUGACAAAGAACUAGAGGCUGAAAAACUUCUAAGAGAGCAGAAAACAAAGGAACAUAGUGGUGCUCUCCGAGAAAUGGAGGAGCUUCAGAUGCAGCUUCAGAAGGAAAAGAAACAUCUGCAGAAAACUAUGCAAGAACUAGAGCUGGCCAGAAAGGAUGCUCAAAAGAGUACGCUGAUGGAUAUGGAAAUAGCUGAUUAUGAAAGGCUAGUAAAAGAACUUAAUCAGAAGAUUACUGAUAAAGACAGCAGAAUAGAAGAUCUUGAGCAAGAAACAGGGAUUCAGAAACAGAAACAAGAGACCCUACAGGAAGAAAUAAAGUCACUUCAGUCAACUGUGCAACAGGAUGAGGAAAGAAAUGCCAAGAUAAAACAGCUCCUGGUGAAAACCAAAAAAGAACUGGCUGAUUCAAAACAAGCUGAAAAUGACCAUCUAAUGUUGCAGGCAUCACUGAAAGGGGAGCUGGAAGCCAGUCAACAGCAAGUGGAAGCCUAUAAGAUUCAAGUGGCUGUGCUGACAUCAGAAAAGCAUAAAGUUCAGGAGCAGCUGCGAACGUCUUCGGAGCAGCACCAGCGUACGAUGAGUGCUUGCCAGCAAAAAAUUGCAACCCUGCAAGAAGAAUGCAGAGCAGCCCAGGCUGAACAAGCAUCUGUUACAUCUGAAUUUGAGAGCUACAAAGUCCGUGUUCAUAAUGUUCUAAAACAGCAAAAGAAUAAAUCUACUGCUCGGACAGAAUCUGAAGGAGCCAAACAAGAAAGAGAACAGUUGGAAAUGGUGAUAGAGCAACUUAAAGUUAAGCUGCAAGAUGCUCAGCAUAAUUCACAGAUGAAUGCAUCUGAACUCCAGGCACUGCAGUCUGAACAUGACACCCUGCUGGAAAGACACAAUAAGAUGCUGCAAGAGACUGUUGCAAAAGAAGCAGAACUUCGUGAAAAGCUCUGCACAAUACAGUCUGAGAACAUGGUCAUCAAAACAGAGCACGCCCAGGCGUUGAGUCAGCUGACAGCGCAGAAUGAAGCUCUCCGGAACAACUUCAGAGAUCAGGUCAGGAACCUGCAAGAAGAGCACAGGAAGACAGUAGAGACACUUCAGCAGCAACUCUCCAGAGUAGAAGCUCAGCUCUUCCAACUCAAGAGUGAGCCAAGCGCUAGAGGUCCAGCUGUUUCAAAUCCGGCAACGAAGACCUUGAGAGAGCGGCGGAACACUGACCUUCCUGUGCUCGAUGUGCACACUGUGGCUAGGGAAGAGGGAGAAGGUAUGGAAACAACAGACACAGAGUCUGUGUCCUCAGCCAGCACCUAUGUUCAGUCCUUGGAGCAACUGCUGAACUCACCAGAAGCAAAGCCUGAACCAUCUCAGUGGCAAGCAGAUCUCAGCAAGGAUGAACUGAUUCAGAAACUAAACACAACAGCUAAGAGUGCUGAUCACUUGAAUGAAUUACUUCGUGAAUCAGAAGCAACCAAUGCAAUCCUAAUGGAACAAAUAAAGCUUCUUAAGAAUGAAAUAAGAAGAUUGGAAAGAAAUCAAGAGAGAGAAAAGUCUGUGGCUAAUCUAGAAUACUUGAAGAAUGUUCUAUUGCAGUUCAUAUUUCUGAAAUCAGGAAGUGAGAAGGAACGGCUGCUCCCAGUUAUAGACACCAUGUUGCAACUCAGCCCUGAAGAGAAGGGGAAGUUGUUUGCAAUUGCCCAAGGUGAAGAAGAGAGUACCUCACGGCCUUCUGGGUGGGCUUCGUACCUCCACAGCUGGUCAGGACUUCGAUAAAACAGUGGAAACACUGAAUCUUUAAAAACAUUCCACAACUGCAAAACUGAGAAAUCUUACUGUAGAUCUGUUGGUAUUGUAUCAUUGAACUACAGGGUUUUAUUUUUGUGUGGUUUUUUUCAGCUUUUUAGGCUCCACUAAGAAAGAAGCCUACAGUAGCUCUGAAAGAUGGUCCUGUGUUAUGCUCUGGCAGCAGUGAACUAUUUUUCUUGUAAAUGUUAAAGCAAAUAAUAAGAACUAUGAGAAGUGACAAAUUCAUUGCAAAUAGUUUGGAAACAGAAUUUGUCAACCUGUGAUAGUUCUUUUGAUAUCAGUUUAAAAGUUUGACCUUAUAUUAACUGGAAUAACUAGAGUUUAGAUUUUAAGCAUUUAAAAGUGUUUACAGUUGCUUUCACAUAUCACUGUCAGCUAGCUAAUCUAUAUGGUUAGUGUUGCUCUCUGCACAUUUAAGAAAUUUAAAAUUAUUUCCUCUCUUGUGAAGGCUACAAAAUAUAAGAUAAUUAAGAAACAGGGCAUUUUCUGCUUUAAAGUUGUUGUCUUUCUUAAAUUAUUUUGUUUUGCUGAACAUGAAGGCAACAGUUCAUAAAAUGUAGAGGGUGCAAAAAUCUGUAUGAAAUACAGUGCUUGUCACACCUGGGCAUGGUACUAUAGUAGAGAUUAAUGGCAUCUAUGGAAGCCUUAGGAUAGUGCUCCAAGUCUCAGAGCUCCUAAGUGAGCUGAAGCUUUGUGAGAAAGGGCUUAAGCUAGGGCUUUUUAAUCUGAGGUUGGAAGUUUGUGGAAAAGACCAGGAAGAAACGUUCCAUUACUGUCACAAUGUCUCUAAUUGGAUGACAAGACUACUCAUACUGACUUAGUAAUAGUGAAGACACUAAAGAAUGAAUCUGAGCCCACAGGUCAGACUCCUAACGUUAACUUCUGAGAGAAAAGAAUGAAGCUUUUGUCAAUAGAUGCAUUCUUAAAUGUUCUAAUGAUUGAAGAUCUUAUUCUCUCCAUUACCUCUGUGUGUGUACAUUGUUUGCGCAGAUAUUUGCACAGAUGAGAUGGUCUCUGUUCCAGAUUACUCAACAGAAUGUUAUAGGUUUUUCCCAAGAAAAAUAAAUUUCUACCAUCUCUUCUUCUAUUGUCAACACAGCACCUCUUUUUACCUUCAGCUAUCUGCUCCUUUAUACAGUCCAUAAUGCCUUUCCACCAUCUUAAUUUAUUUGUAAGGUUUUGAAAAGCAUACACGAUUGAAUCCUGCUUAUGUUUAAACCAGAGUCUUCAUGUCUUUUUCACUCAUAUUAUCAUAUUCUCUGUGUUGUUUUACAGAGAGUCUUUCUCUGGUACCCAUACAAAUACUAAAUAGGGCUCUUCCUUUCCUAUCUACCUUAGAUCUGAGGAAAUGAUGCUUGUUCCUUUAAUAUUGCCUUAUUUCAGACUGGGAUUAAUCUGAACAUCUGAACAGCAGAACGGCAACAUGUUGAGAAUAAACCAUUCAUGCCACAUUUAUUAGAAUGUUUCUCAGAAAAUAUCACCCUUGCCCAAAAUGUUUAUAAGCUUAAGACCGAUUUUUAUCUUUUAACAGCCUGCCUUCAGCCCAAGCAUUAGGAGAGCAUAAUAAUAAAAAUAAUAAUAAUAAUAGUAAUUCUGCUGUCACUAUACAUAUUAUAUAUUAAGUAAAAACCAAAAAUGGGAGUGAUUUAGCAUUCCCAAACCUGCACUUGUGGCUGAAUUUUCAGCUAUCUAAUGCUGACUCAGAAAUGGGUUAUAUGUCUUUCAUUUUCCCUUUAUCCAGAAGGGAGAGUCAUCUGUGCAAGCAAAAAGUGCUCCAGCUGAAAGACAGGAAGAUCAGAACUUGUCAGGCUGUUGUGUAGAUGUGGCCAGUUGAAUCUAGGGUUCAGGCUGGCCAAAGGGAACCAUAUUAGAAAUUAUACACAGGAGAGCAAGGUUGCUUUUUUUCUUUCAUGACUCUCCUUCCCUGAAGUAUAACUGUGAGAAUACAGGGUUCUAUUAUUUUCUAGAUUUAAAUCCUCCUUCGUCUAUCUCCCUCCAUCUAUUUGCUGUGAUAAGAGAUUAUAUAUUAUGAAAUUGUGGAGGAAUGCCUAAAAAUUCUCCUUACUUUGUACUAAGUGACUUUGAAGCCAGCUUAAACAUACAUGCUUAAUUUGGCUUAUGCCUUAGCUUCACCCAGUGCACCAAUACUUCCUAAACUACCUGCUAGUUCUAAUAUUGUUGGUACUGUGAAAAUAUCUCACUUAGAAGUCUUGCAAAUAGCAGUCACCACUCACACGCUGAGAAACCAAAUGUAUGAAGAGAUAAAAAUAUUUGAUGUAGUAAUUUCAGACUUACUAGUCUGGGUAGAUAAGUAUUUUGUUUGGAAAUAUGUUUUUGGUGGCCUUUUCAUGUGGUCACACUUCAAUAAAAUUCACCUUUACUCAAGAGAGUGACUUUUUUUUUCCAUUAAUGCCUGUUCUUACCUGAGAAAAUGCUACUCAGGUGCAAGGUAGAAAACAAGGACUGUCUACCAUUGUAUUGAAGAGAUUUUAUGGAUCUGGUAUAGUAUCCGCAGCCUGU